rnacentral:rRNA from 1 species
UAGGGAAUAUUGGACAAUGGGUGAGAGCCUGAUCCAGCCAUGCCGCGUGCAGGAAGAAGGCGUUAUGCGUUGUAAACUGCUUUUGCCAGGGGAUAAAAAGACCGUGCGCGGUUAAUUGAAGGUACCUGGUGAAUAAGCCACGGCUAACUACGUGCCAGCAGCCGCGGUAAUACGUAGGUGGCAAGCGUUGUCCGGAUUUAUUGGGUUUAAAGGGUGCGUAGGUGGCCCUGUAAGUCAGUGGUGAAAUAUCUCAGCUUAACUGAGAGGGUGCCAUUGAUACUGCAGGGCUUGAGUACAGAUGAGGUAGGCGGAAUUGACGGUGUAGCGGUGAAAUGCAUAGAUAUCGUCAAGAACACCGAUAGCGAAGGCAGCUUACCAAGCUGUAACUGACACUGAGGCACGAAAGUGUGGGGAUCAAACAGGAUUAGAUACCCCAGUAGUCCCUGAGCGGGCUGGCAAGGCGCAU